UACGUAGGGGGCAAGCGUUGUCCGGAUUCAUUGGGCGUAAAGCGCGUGUAGGCGGCCAGGUAGGUCCGGUGUGAAAACUCGAGGCUCAACCUCGAGAGGUCAUCGGAAACCAUCUGGCUAGAGUCCGGAAGAGGAGAGUGGAAUUCCCGGUAUAGCGGUGAAAUGCGCAGAUAUCGGGAAGAACACCUAUGGCGAAGGCAGCUCUCUGGGACGGUACUGACGCUGAGACGCGAAAGCGUGGGGAGCGAACAGG
rnacentral:rRNA from 1 species